UUAUCCGGAUUUAUUGGGUUUAAAGGGUGCGUAGGCGGUUUGAUAAGUUAGAGGUGAAAUCCCGGGGCUUAACUCCGGAACUGCCUCUAAUACUGUUAGACUAGAGAGUAGUUGCGGUAGGCGGAAUGUAUGGUGUAGCGGUGAAAUGCUUAGAGAUCAUACAGAACACCGAUUGCGAAGGCAGCUUACCAAACUAUAUCUGACGUUGAGGCACGAAAGCGUGGGGAGCAAACAGGAUUAGAUACCCUGGUAGUCCACGCAGUAAACGAUGAUAACUCGUUGUCGGCGAUACACAGUCGGUGACUAAGCGAAAGCGAUAAGUUAUCCACCUGGGGAGUACGUUCGCAAGAAUGAAACUCAAAGGAAUUGACGGGGGCCCGCACAAGCGGAGGAACAUGUGGUUUAA
rnacentral:rRNA from 1 species